rnacentral:rRNA from 1 species
UCGAGCGAUGACGAGAAGCUUGCUUCUCUGAUUUAGCGGCGGACGGGUGAGUAACACGUGGGCAACCUGCCCUACAGAUUGGGAUAACUCAGGGAAACCUGGGCUAAUACCGAAUAAUCCUUCGAAUCACAUGUUUUGAAGUUAAAAGGCGCUUCGGCGUCACUGUAGGAUGGGCCCGCGGUGCAUUAGCUAGUUGGUGGGGUAACGGCCUACCAAGGCAACGAUGCAUAGCCGACCUGAGAGGGUGAUCGGCCACAUUGGGACUGAGACACGGCCCAAACUCCUACGGGAGGCAGCAGUAGGGAAUCUUCCACAAUGGACGAAAGUCUGAUGGAGCAACGCCGCGUGAGUGAUGAAGGUUUUCGGAUCGUAAAACUCUGUUGUAAGGGAAGAACAAGUACGUUAGGAAAUGAACGUACCUUGACGGUACCUUAUUAGAAAGCCACGGCUAACUACGUGCCAGCAGCCGCGGUAAUACGUAGGUGGCAAGCGUUGUCCGGAUUUAUUGGGCGUAAAGCGCGCGCAGGUGGUUUCUUAAGUCUGAUGUGAAAGCCCACGGCUCAACCGUGGAGGGUCAUUGGAAACUGGGGAACUUGAGUGCAGAAGAGGAUAGUGGAAUUCCAAGUGUAGCGGUGAAAUGCGUAGAGAUUUGGGAGGAACACCAGUGGCGAAGCGAGUGUCUGGGUCUGUUAC